UUGUUCAGUCAGCAACAGCAUCAGCUGAUUUAUGUCUAAGUUGUCACUGAGUUGUUCUAAGUUGUUCGAGUCGUAGAAUUCGGGCGAGACCAAGAUGUCUGAUGAUUUUUUACCCCUAAAAAGAAAUUUUGGUUUAUUAGUUUUUUUAACCGAAAAUUGUUUCUUGAACGGCAUUGAAGAUGGCGGCCGGGCACCAUUUUGUUAAGGAAAACUGUCGGUUUUAUGACAAACCUGUAAAUACUAUAAACACUUAGAUCUAUGGUAGGACAAAACAUACAAAUUUAUUUUUGGACAAUAUUGGUAUACAGAAUAUACUUAGAGUAUCCGUAAUCUAUUCGUAAUGUGCAGGUUUUUAAGUUGCUGUUUUUUAAGAAUGUAAAAUUUCGAAAGUGUUGAUUAGGUCUAAUGAUGCUUUUAGUUUAAGGUUUGUAAAAAACUUGUAGGUUUUUAAAAUAAGUAAGUCUCUAAGAAAAAAAUGGACCACUAGUUUUAAUAUUUGUACAUCUUUUGUCUUAAUAACCCUUAAAAGAGAAGAGAAGUUUUAUUUUAAGACAUAUCAUGCAUUUUACUGUCGAAAUAUUUAUUAUGACGUGGCAUUUUCUUAUUUUAGAAUUUUUACUACAAAUAAUACACUCUUACUUAGUGACAGUAAAAUUGUCAUAUAAUUUCUUUACACGAAAAACUGAUAAAUGCUGACACAAUCCUACUUAUGUGAGUACCUUUUUUAUUUAAAAUCGAACUGCCUUUUAGAUUUUCUAGUCGUUUUAGCCAUAACUGAUUGGGCAAAAAAGAUAUGUUACCUAAGUAACAGGGUGUAACUAACGUCCUAUAUAAAUAAUGCUAAAUUCAUCACAAAAUUCGUAGUUUUCAUGUCAAAACACAUAAAGUCGCCAAUUUUCAAGACGAUACUGCUUAAAAUUACAUAAUUAUUAAAAAAAUUUCAAAUUAAAAUUACAACUUUAAAUACCCUGUAUCUCGUUAAGCUUGCAACAUUUGUAUAAGACAUGUUAAGCUCAAUCGCCAUAUUUUGGUGUGUAGUAAGUAUCUCCACUUCAGAGAUUGCCCAUUCUUAAUGAAUCACCCUGUAUAUGUUGCCAAUACUCCUGCAAAAUUUCAAUAUUCUACUAACCAUACAGCCAAAGUUAUCACGUUUUUUCUUCUACCAAAGCCUCGAAAUAUCACCAUUAAUGCUUUGGAAAGCUUUGGAAAAUAUUCUUCGUACUUGAUUUUUCCCAAAAAAUAUACAGACACAUCUCACCUAGGGAACCCCUAACCCUGAAAAAAUUCAACCCACUUGCUUACCCCUUUCUGGAGAUUUUGUGAACUCACUUUUUUCAUAUAUUUGUUAUUUGGCAACUUAUAGCUUUAUAGUAAAAAUGAGUAGAGCUUUGAUGGUAAAAUACAUCUAUAUACCUGGUGACACAGACAAAAGGGAACACUUAAUAACUUUUUUGCUUUUUAAGAUUGAUAUUUGGUAUAGCAAAAGAAUAGUUAUAAGAGCAUCUUUUGACAUAUUCUAUUGUUUUCCAUCACUUCCGGUUUAAUAGGAAGUGACACUAACUUUCUUAUUUUAAAUGGGACACUUGGUAUAUUUUUAUGUAUUUCGAUAAAAAUAAUAUUCUAAAAACAAUAAUACUGUAUUUUCUUACUUUUUGUUUUAUACUCUUAGAAAAAAUCACUUUUUUAAAUUAUAAAAUAGGGUGCCAUGAAUGCGUUGAAAGUUUUAAUUUUUAAGCAAGUAAUCACGGAAAAAUAGUUUUCGUUACAUUUUACGACUUUAAUCUGUUCAAUGCCUAUUUAAAACGUCUAAACCAUUAAGUUAAUGCCAAAACUUAAUUUUUUUAAAUAACAGAUUAUUGGCAACAACCACCUUUAAAAUGCGGGUUGUUUUUCCCAAUAAUUUGAUAUAAUUAUCUUUUAAAUGGGUUGAUAAACAAGCCCAUAAGAAGAAAAAAUUAAGUCACAUAAAUAAACGCAUUUAAUUAGUAAAAAUAGUAUAGAAGGCUUUGAUUGCUUGAAUAGGCUGCGUUUUGACAGCAUACGUUAAAAGACGAAUUUGCCUAGGCAAUGAGAAUUGAAGAUGGGACCAAAAACCAAAAAUUUCGCGCGCGAUUGGCAUUGGCAAUAUUGGCAUAAUAAUUUUGUUUUGUUUUCCCUAACCUAGAUUGUAGAUUUUAUUUUAUUUGCUUUGAUUCCUGAAUGAUUUAAUUAUCUCCGGCAAUUAUUAUUUAUAUCGAUUCUGCCACUGACUCCGUUGUCUAUAAUAUUCGGUUCUACGCUAAUUAUGGCAACACUAAGGUAAGAUAUAAUUUUAAGAAGUUUCACUCAGAAUUUGUUGGCCAGGAAUACAAGAAACACAUUACAUGUCCAAUGUGUACCAACAGUACCCAGGCAUUUUCUUAUCUUGAUAGUUUAACCAAACAUUUGCUUGAUAUUCACAAUAGAAAGAUUAAACAAUCAUUUUUAAAUUUUAGGAAUUUUGAGGAAUAUAGAGAACAAAGUAAUAGGGAAGUCGAUUAUGCUUGUCAGACCCAAAAUAAAUUUAAGAAUGGAGAAGAACAUAUAUUUUACAAUUGUAAUAGGAGCGACACCAGAGGAUUUAAUAGCUCAUGUAAAACGAGAAACAUUAAGUCUGGGGAAAGCAGACGCAUCAAGGAACAUGCCCCUCAAGAAUUUUAGUUAAGGUUUUAAAGAAUAGAUCAGUUGUGAUCAGCAGUGCUAGUGUACAGACCAAGCUUGAUGGAUUUAGUUUCUUCUCUACCAUUUUAGUUUUAAGUUGUUAAUAUAAUAUAAUAUAAUAUAAUACUUUUAGAAAAUUUUUAAUUUCAAAGUCAUUUCAAAACUCAUCACAAUGAUUUUUCAAAUUGUCUUUGAAAACUACUCAGCAAGUAAGCUGCCUUAAAAUAUUUAUGGAAUAUUUACUUCUUAUGGCCACUAUGAUGAUGCAUCUCACCCAUGGGAUUUUAUCAAAACAAUGCCUAAACAGUUAUAUAAAAAUCAAAAUAAAUACACAUAUUUUUUAUGAUUAUAUGUUUUAUAUAUUUUGAUUUUAAUUGUUGUUAAAUAAAAGUUUACAUGGUGUUUUUUCUUAAAAAUUCAUAUAAUUUUAGUUGUUUAUCGCCUGGCAAUCUUUAUCAUCUACCCGCCCGAUAUUCUCUG
rnacentral:lncRNA from 1 species